AUUUGGUAUUGGAAAGUAAACGCAGUCAUGACCAAUGGCUUAUCUAGUAUAUAUCUUUUGGUAUCUAUCGAUCCUAAUCAGCUGAUCCCGUUCUCAUUCCCUUAAUACCGGUGCAAAAGUUAAGUUAUUAUCCAAGUAACCUCGUGGCGACAAUUAUAAAGAAACACGUGUUAAGCUGGAAAUAACCUCGCCAAUUAAAAUUAUUUAAAUUGAUCCAUUUGUAUUCGGGUAUUUAACUUCCCCCUCAGUUGUGGGUUGUGGUUGAAGCCCCGAGUACCUACUUGGCUAGGGGUUUUUUCAGCAUCAAGCCUCCCUCCUUGGGCUCUAAUUAAUUCUUAUGAAAACCUUAUUGCCUGGAUGACCAACCAGAAAACCAGAAUAAACCAGAAACCAAUAAUUCUCGCAGUUUUGGAGCAAAAGCCUCUGCUACCCUACGCAUGCAUGGAAAAACUCAACAGGUUUAUAUUGAGAGACGAUUGCGUGUGAUUUUUCCGGCGAAAUUGUUGCCUCAUCUGAUCUGUCUAUUUUUUGAGAAUCCGCUGGACAUCCCCAGCAACAUUUAUUGAGAUUCAUCAUUGAUGUGUUUCCAAACGACUUGGAAUUUUCGUAUAAAACAACUCUUAACCAA